UACGAAGGGGGCUAGCGUUGUUCGGAAUUACUGGGCGUAAAGCGUGCGCAGGCGGCUUCUCAAGUCAGGGGUGAAAGCCCAGAGCUCAACUCUGGAAUUGCCUUUGAGACUGAGUGGCUUGAGUACGAGAGAGGUGAGUGGAAUUCCCAGUGUAGAGGUGAAAUUCGUAGAUAUUGGGAAGAACACCGGUGGCGAAGGCGGCUCACUGGCCAGUUUCUGACGCUGCAGCGCGAAAGCGUGGGGAUCAAACAGG
rnacentral:rRNA from 1 species